rnacentral:lncRNA from 1 species
GAGGGGUAGAUUAGAUAGAAAUUAGAAAAGAACUAUAGACAUAUUUGUGGGAUAAAAUUUCAGACACAUGCCCAAGAGGUAUAACACACAUACAUAGAUUACUUGGACGUCAACCUCUCUAAGCUAGCUGGCUAGCUGACUAGUUAGCUAGCUCAACGUCAGGGAAAAAAUAUAGAUUGGAAUACCCAUCACAGGUCAGCUAGCUCAAUGUCAGGGAAAAAAUAUAGAUUGGAAUACCCAUCACAGGUUUGCUGUCCUACUUUUAGUUGACUCUCCGCCUGAAUCACCCAAGCCGGUCGGUCAACCCCCACAGGUGGAGCCUCCAUGUAAGGGAUGGUUGGACCUAACUUUUGCAUUCUAAGGUUCCUAUUGGCAUGAAUCCUAGUUAACCUAAAUUGAUUAAGAGACAUGAAUUGCAAUUGAUUCAAAAGGAAAAAUAAAAGAAAAUCAGUCAAUCCCCAUUAAUAGCCUAAAUAGGAAUCAGUACGAUUGACUAGUCAAACCAUGACCAAGUAAAUUAGAACUCCCAUAUAAUUUGUGAAAGAAAUCAUGCAUGAUG